rnacentral:rRNA from 1 species
GAUGAACGCUGGCGGCGUGCCUAAUACAUGCAAGUCGAGCGAACAGACGAGGAGCUUGCUCCUCUGACGUUAGCGGCGGGCGGGUGAGUACACGUGGAUAACCUACCUAUAAGACUGGGAUAACUUCGGGAAACCGGAGCUAAUACCGGAUAAUAUAUUGAACCGCAUGGUUCAAUAGUGAAAGACGGUUUUGCUGUCACUUAUAGAUGGAUCCGCGCCGCAUUAGCUAGUUGGUAAGGUAACGGCUUACCAAGGCAACGAUGCGUAGCCGACCUGAGAGGGUGAUCGGCCACACUGGAACUGAGACACGGUCCAGACUCCUACGGGAGGCAGCAGUAGGGAAUCUUCCGCAAUGGGCGAAAGCCUGACGGAGCAACGCCGCGUGAGUGAUGAAGGUCUUCGGAUCGUAAAACUCUGUUAUUAGGGAAGAACAAAUGUGUAAGUAACUAUGCACGUCUUGACGGUACCUAAUCAGAAAGCCACGGCUAACUACGUG